rnacentral:rRNA from 1 species
UACGGGGGGAGGCAAGCGUUGUUCGGAUUUACUGGGCGUAAAGGGCGCGUAGGCGGCCACCGCAAGUCGACUGUGAAAUCUCCGGGCUUAACUCGGAAAGGUCAGCCGAUACUGCGGGGCUAGAGUGCAGAAGGGGCAACUGGAAUUCUCGGUGUAGCGGUGAAAUGCGUAGAUAUCGAGAGGAACACCUGCGGCGAAGGCGGGUUGCUGGGCUGACACUGACGUGAGGCGCGAAAGCUAGGGGAGCGAACGGGG